rnacentral:rRNA from 1 species
GGUUGAUCCUGCCAGUAGCAUAUGCUUGUCUCAAAGAUUAAGCCAUGCAUGUCUAAGUACAAGCCGCUAGACGGCGAAACCGCGAAUGGCUCAAUAAAUCAGUUAUGGUUCCUUAGAUCAGUCAAUCCUACUUGGAUAACUGUGGUAAUUCUAGAGCUAAUACAUGCACCCAAGCCCCGACUCGGGGGGCAACUCUCGAGAAAGGGCGCUUUUAUUAGAUCAAAACCAGUCGAGAGCUUCGGCUCUCGUUAAGUUUGGUGACUCUGGAUAACUUCACGCUGAUCGCACGGUCUUCGCACCGGCGACGAUUCUUUCAAAUGUCUGCCUUAUCAACUGUCGAUGGUAGGUUAUGCGCCUACCAUGGUUGCAACGGGUAACGGGGAAUCGGGGUUCGAUUCCGGAGAGGGAGCCUGAGAAACGGCUACCACAUCCAAGGAAGGCAGCAGGCGCGCAAAUUACCCACUCCCGGCACGGGGAGGUAGUGACGAAAAAUAACGAUACGGGACUCUUCCGAGGCCCCGUGAUUGGAAUGAGUACACUUUAAAUCCUUUAACGAGGACCCAUUGGAGGGCAAGUCUGGUGCCAGCAGCCGCGGUAACUCCAGCUCCAAUAGCGUAUAUUAAAGUUGUUGCGGUUGAAAAGCUCGUAGUCGGAGUUCUGUCUUCGGCCGAGGGGGGAUUCUGCCUACACGGUAUGAGUCUCGUUCCCUUUGGGUGUGCGGUGUCAAAGCCGUGCACUCUUAACGGUCGGACAAGUCCGUCGGAGUGUGGUUAUUGUUGGAAGGGCAACCGACCAAUGAGGCCACCGUAAUCGUUCGGGGUGCCUUUAAUCGGGUGUCUCGGGCGGCCGACAUAGUUUACUUUGAACAAAUUAGAGUGCUCAAAGCAGGUGACUACCGCCUGAAUAGUACAGCAUGGAAUGAUGAAAGAGGACCUCGGUCUGAUUUUGCUGGUCUUUAACGGUCGGGCUUCGGCCCGGCCUAUGCAGACCCGAGGUAAUGGUCAAUAGAGACGGACGGGGGCAUCCGUACUGCGGCGACAGAGGUGAAAUUCUUGGACCGCCGCAAGACGAACGACAGCGAAGGCAUUUGCCAAGAAUGUUUUCCUUGAUCAAGAACGAAAGUUAGAGGUUCGAAGGCGAUCAGAUACCGCCCUAGUUCUAACCAUAAACGAUGCCAACUAGCGAUCCGCCGGUGUUACUCCCAUGACUCGGCGGGCAGCUUCCGGGAAACCAAAGUCUUUGGGUUCCGGGGGAAGUAUGGUUGCAAAGCUGAAACUUAAAGGAAUUGACGGAAGGGCACCACCAGGAGUGGAGCCUGCGGCUUAAUUUGACCCAACACGGGAAACCUCACCAGGCCCGGACACUGGAAGGAUUGACAGAUUGAGAGCUCUUUCUUGAUUCGGUGGGUGGUGGUGCAUGGCCGUUCUUAGUUGGUGGAGCGAUUUGUCUGGUUAAUUCCGAUAACGAACGAGACUCUAGCCUGCUAAAUAGGUGCCGGGUUUUUACAUCUCCUCGCAAGGGGAGAGUGGAGUGUGUGGUUGUC